rnacentral:rRNA from 1 species
UCUUGGUCAUUUAGAGGAAGUAAAAGUCGUAACAAGGUUUCCGUAGGUGAACCUGCGGAAGGAUCAUUACCUAGAGUUGUAGGCUUUGCCUGCUAUCUCUUACCCAUGUCUUUUGAGUACCUUACGUUUCCUCGGUGGGUUCGCCCACCGAUUGGACAAACUUAAACCCUUUGCAGUUGAAAUCAGCGUCUGAAAAAACUUAAUAGUUACAACUUUCAACAACGGAUCUCUUGGUUCUGGCAUCGAUGAAGAACGCAGCGAAAUGCGAUAAGUAGUGUGAAUUGCAGAAUUCAGUGAAUCAUCGAAUCUUUGAACGCACAUUGCGCCCCUUGGUAUUCCAUGGGGCAUGCCUGUUCGAGCGUCAUUUGUACCUUCAAGCUCUGCUUGGUGUUGGGUGUUUGUCUCCUGUAGACUCGCCUUAAAACAAUUGGCAGCCGGCGUAUUGAUUUCGGAGCGCAGUACAUCUCGCGCUUUGCACUCAUAACGACGACAUCCAAAAGUACAUUUUUACACUCUUGACCUCGGAUCAGGUAGGGAUACCCGCUGAACUUAAGCAUAUCAAUAAGCGGAGGAACAC